rnacentral:rRNA from 1 species
CAGUCGCCGCGGUAAUACGUAGGCAGCGAGCGUUGUUCGGAAUUACUGGGCGUAAAGAGUGUGUAGGCGGUGCUCUAAGUUCGGUGUGAAAUCUCCCGGCUUAACUGGGAGGGUGCGCCGGAAACUGGAAUGCUCGAACGUGGGAGAGGAAAGCGGAAUUCCUGGUGUAGCGGUGAAAUGCGUAGAUAUCAGGAGGAACACCUGCGGUGUAGACGGCUUUCUGGACCAUUGUUGACGCUGAGACACGAAAGCGUGGGUAGCAAACAGGAUUAGAUACCCCGGUAGUCCCUGUCUCUUAUAC